AAAAAUUUAGUUAAUAUAUAACAUUAGUUUGUCAUACUAAAAUAAUCAAUUAAUUUGAUAAUUUUUA
rnacentral:tRNA from 1 species